rnacentral:rRNA from 1 species
AACGAACGCUGGCGGCAGGCUUAACACAUGCAAGUCGAACGCCCCGCAAGGGGAGUGGCAGACGGGUGAGUAACGCGUGGGAAUCUACCUAUCUCUACGGAAUAACCCAGGGAGACUUGGACUAAUACCGUAUACGCCCUUUUGGGGAAAGAUUUAUCGGAGAUGGAUGAGCCCGCGUUGGAUUAGCUAGUUGGUGGGGU